rnacentral:rRNA from 1 species
UACGAAGGGGGCUAGCGUUGCUCGGAAUCACUGGGCGUAAAGCGCACGUAGGCGGACUCUUAAGUCGGCGGUGAAAUCCUGGAGCUCAACUCCAGAACUGCCUUCGAUACUGAGAGUCUCGAGUCCGAGAGAGGUGAGUGGAACUGCGAGUGUAGAGGUGAAAUUCGUAGAUAUUCGCAAGAACACCAGUGGCGAAGGCGGCUCACUGGCUCGGUACUGACGCUGAGGUGCGAAAGCGUGGGGAGCAAACAGG